GAUGAACGCUGGCGGCGUGCCUAAUACAUGCAAGUCGAGCGAACGGACGAGAAGCUUGCUUCUCUGAUGUUAGCGGCGGACGGGUGAGUAACACGUGGAUAACCUACCUAUAAGACUGGGAUAACUUCGGGAAACCGGAGCUAAUACCGGAUAAUAUUUUGAACCGCAUGGUUCAAAAGUGAAAGACGGUCUUGCUGUCACUUAUAGAUGGAUCCGCGCUGCAUUAGCUAGUUGGUAAGGUAACGGCUUACCAAGGCAACGAUGCAUAGCCGACCUGAGAGGGUGAUCGGCCACACUGGAACUGAGACACGGUCCAGACUCCUACGGGAGGCAGCAGUAGGGAAUCUUCCGCAAUGGGCGAAAGCCUGACGGAGCAACGCCGCGUGAGUGAUGAAGGUCUUCGGAUCAUAAAACUCUGUUAUUAGGGAAGAACAUAUGUGUAAGUAACUGUGCACAUCUUGACGGUACCUAAUCAGAAAGCCACGGCUAACUACGUG
rnacentral:rRNA from 1 species